rnacentral:rRNA from 1 species
UACGGAGGGUGCAAGCGUUAUCCGGAUUCACUGGGUUUAAAGGGUGCGUAGGCGGAUAGGUAAGUCCGUGGUGAAAUCCUGCAGCUUAACUGCAGAACUGCCAUGGAUACUAUUUAUCUUGAAUGUCGUGGAGGUUAGCAGAAUAUGUCAUGUAGCGGUGAAAUGCUUAGAUAUGACAUAGAAUACCCAUUGCGAAGGCAGCUAACUACGCGAUAAUUGACGCUGAUGCACGAAAGCGUGGGGAGCGAACAGG